rnacentral:rRNA from 1 species
ACCAAGGAGUCUAGCAUGUGCGCGAGUCAUUGGGACUUAACUAAACCUAAAGGCGAAAUGAAAGUGAAGGUCCGCCUCGCGCGGACCUAGGGAGGAUGGGCCAACCCGAGGGUGGCCCCGCACUCCCGGGGCGUCUCGUUCUCAUCGCGAGAGGAGGCGCACCCAGAGCGUACACGCUGGGACCCGAAAGAUGGUGAACUAUGCCUGGUCAGGACGAAGUCAGGGGAAACCCUGAUGGAGGUCCGUAGCGAUUCUGACGUGCAAAUCGAUCGUCGGAACUGGGUAUAGGGGCGAAAGACUAAUCGAACCAUCUAGUAGCUGGUUCCCUCCGAAGUUUCCCUCAGGAUAGCUGGCGCUCGCCGCGCGCGAGUCUCAUCCGGUAAAGCGAAUGAUUAGAGGCAUUGGGGUCGAAACGGCCUCAACCUAUUCUCAAACUUUAAAUGGGUGAGAUCUCCGGCUUGCUCGAACACGUGAAGCCGCGAGAUUUCGGAUCAGAGUGCCAAGUGGGCCACUUUUGGUAAGCAGAACUGGCGCUGUGGGAUGAACCAAACGCAGAGUUAAAGCGCCCAAAUCGACGCUUAUGGGAUACCAUGAAAGGCGUUGGUAACUUAAGACAGCAGG